rnacentral:rRNA from 1 species
UACGGAGGGGGCUAGCGUUGUUCGGAAUCAUUGGGCGUAAAGGGCGCGUAGGCGGCCGGCCAAGUCGGAUGUGAAAUCCCUCGGCUCAACCGAGGAACUGCACUCGAUACUGUCGGACUAGAGUACAGAAGGGGCAACUGGAAUUCUCGGUGUAGCGGUGAAAUGCGUAGAUAUCGAGAGGAACACCUGCGGCGAAGGCGGGUUGCUGGGCUGAUACUGACGCUGACAGCGCGAAAGCCAGGGGAGCAAACGGG